rnacentral:rRNA from 2 species
UUCCCUCCAGAGUGGAUCCUGAGUACGGCGGAACACGUGAAAUUCCGUCGGAAUCCGGGAGGACCAUCUCCCAAGGCUAAAUACUCCCUAGUGACCGAUAGUGAACCAGUACCGUGAGGGAAAGGUGAAAAGCACCCCGGAAGGGGAGUGAAACAGUUCCUGAAACCGUGUGCCUACAAGUAGUUAGAGCCCGUUAAUGGGUGAUAGCGUGCCUUUUGUAGAAUGAACCGGCGAGUUACGAUUUGUUGCAAGGUUAAGCGGAAAAAGCGGAGCCGUAGCGAAAGCGAGUCUGAAUAGGGCGCAUAAGUAACAGGUCGUAGACCCGAAACCAGGUGAUCUACCCAUGUCCAGGAUGAAGGUAAGGUAAUACUUACUGGAGGUCCGAACCCACGCACGUUGAAAAGUGCGGGGAUGAGGUGUGGGUAGCGGAGAAAUUCCAAUCGAACUUGGAGAUAGCUGGUUCUCUCCGAAAUAGCUUUAGGGCUAGCCUCGAGGUAAAGAGUCAUGGAGGUAGAGCACUGUUUGGACUAGGGGCCCUUCUCGGGUUACCGAAUUCAGAUAAACUCCGAAUGCCAUGUACUUAUACUCGGGAGUCAGACUGCGAGUGAUAAGAUCCGUAGUCGAAAGGGAAACAGCCCAGACCACCAGUUAAGGUCCCCAAAUAUAUGUUAAGUGGAAAAGGAUGUGGGGUUGCUUAGACAACCAGGAUGUUGGCUUAGAAGCAGCCACCAUUGAAAGAGUGCGUAAUAGCUCACUGGUCGAGUGACCCCGCGCCGAAAAUGUACCGGGGCUAAACAUAUUACCGAAACUGUGGAUGAACCUCUUUAGAGGUUCGUGGUAGGAGAGCGUUCUAAGGGCGGUGAAGUCAGACCGGAAGGACUGGUGGAGCGCUUAGAAGUGAGAAUGCCGGUAUGAGUAGCGAAAGAAGGGUGAGAAUCCCUUCCACCGAAUAUCUAAGGUUUCCUGAGGAAGGCUCGUCCGCUCAGGGUUAGUCGGGACCUAAGCCGAGGCCGAUAGGCGUAGGCGAUGGACAACAGGUAGAGAUUCCUGUACCAGUGCUAAUUGUUUAACCGAUGGGGUGACACAGAAGGAUAGGGAAUCGCACGAAUGGAAAUGUGCGUCCAAGCAGUGAGUGUGAGAAGUAGGCAAAUCCGCUUCUCGCGAAGCAUGAGCUGUGAUGGGGAAGGAAAUUAAGUACGGAAGUUCCUGAUUUCACGCUGUCAAGAAAAGCCUCUAGGAAGAGUAGUACUGCCCGUACCGCAAACCGACACAGGUAGAUGAGGAGAGAAUCCUAAGGUGAGCGAGAGAACUCUCGUUAAGGAACUCGGCAAAAUGACCCCGUAACUUCGGGAGAAGGGGUGCUCUAUUAGGGUGCAAGCCCGAGAGAGCCGCAGUGAAUAGGCCCAGGCGACUGUUUAGCAAAAACACAGGUCUCUGCAAAACCGUAAGGUGACGUAUAGGGGCUGACGCCUGCCCGGUGCUGGAAGGUUAAGAGGAGUGCUUAGCUUCGGCGAAGGUACGAAUUGAAGCCCCAGUAAACGGCGGCCGUAACUAUAACGGUCCUAAGGUAGCGAAAUUCCUUGUCGGGUAAGUUCCGACCCGCACGAAAGGCGCAACGAUCUGGGCACUGUCUCAACGAGAGACUCGGUGAAAUUAUAGUACCUGUGAAGAUGCAGGUUACCCGCGACAGGACGGAAAGACCCCGUGGAGCUUUACUGCAACCUGAUAUGGAAUGUUUGUACCGCUUGUACAGGAUAGGUAGGAGCCGAAGAGACGUGUGCGCUAGCAUACGAGGAGGCAAUGGUGGGAUACUACCCUGGCUGUAUGACCAUUCUAACCCGCCACGCUUAGCGCGUGGGGAGACAGUGUCAGGUGGGCAGUUUGACUGGGGCGGUCGCCUCCUAAAGAGUAACGGAGGCGCCCAAAGGUUCCCUCAGAAUGGAUGGAAAUCAUUCGCAGAGUGUAAAGGCACAAGGGAGCUUGACUGCGAGACUGACAAGUCGAGCAGGGACGAAAGUCGGGCUUAGUGAUCCGGUGGUUCCGCAUGGAAGGGCCAUCGCUCAACGGAUAAAAGCUACCCCGGGGAUAACAGGCUUAUCUCCCCCAAGAGUCCACAUCGACGGGGAGGUUUGGCACCUCGAUGUCGGCUCGUCGCAUCCUGGGGCUGUAGUCGGUCCCAAGGGUUGGGCUGUUCGCCCAUUAAAGCGGCACGCGAGCUGGGUUCAGAACGUCGUGAGACAGUUCGGUCCCUAUCCGUCGCGGGCGCAGGAAAUUUGAGAGGAGCUGUCCUUAGUACGAGAGGACCGGGAUGGACACACCGCUGGUGUACCAGUUGUUCCGCCAGGAGCAUCGCUGGGUAGCUAUGUGUGGCAGGGAUAAACGCUGAAAGCAUCUAAGCGUGAAGCCCCCCUCAAGAUGAGAUUUCCCAUUUCUUCGGAAAGUAAGAUCCCUGAAAGAUGAUCAGGUAGAUAGGUUUGGAGUGGAAGUGUAGCGAUACAUGGAGCGGACAAAUACUAAUCGAUCGAGGACUUAACCAAAA